ACGACCUGUUUUAUAACUGCGAUAAUCCAAUUAGCGACUUCCGUGGAAAGAGGAGCUACGAGGCUACGAGCUACGACGACUUUCGGGAUCCAGCGCGCUAUUUCACUGCGUUAGCGUAGUGUGUGUAUUUCCAAGUUUUCUUUAUUUAUAUCUUUUGGAACAACGACCAAUUUAUCGAGGUACAGCUACAGCCCUUACUUCAUUUGACGUGCCUCGGUUGUGUCGUCAAAGCGAGAUUUCUCGGCGGGCAUUCAGUUCCGUACGAUACUGCGCGUUCAACCGCAGCGGCAGGAUAAUACCGCGGCGGAUUUUGCCAAUCAUAUUUGAAGAAUGCAGACUAUGAGACGGACCCCUCAGUUUGAGUGCAAAGAACCUCCGCCUACAGCAGUCCGCAGUGCUUUCCUUGAAUCUAUCUUCCAAGACUGUUGCAUCUGGACGUGACGAGGGUGAUGACUUAAUGGAAGUGGAAGGAACAGGAGAGGAAGACAUCUGGCAAUGGUCAUGACAGUUGUCCGUCAGGAAUCUACAGGUGGUGAGCAUGCGUAAGGAAUUGACAUAUCUCAGUACAACUUAGACCUGCCUGUUGCACAUGAGAUGUGUGACUCUACUUACACACACACGCUUCUGCAGGUUCGAUGCAUGUAUAUUUUGAAACAUGAAAGACAGAGUGCUAAAAAUAUAUCUGAGGUGAAAAAUUGAGCAGUUCACUGCAGUAAUUCUAUAGAUUUAUUUUCAGCAUUUUGGGAAAAAUAUAGUGAUGGCAAGAUUACCUGUGUUGUACUGCCAGACCAUCUGCCGUUGGAGUUCCAUGUCCCAGUUAUUAUAUAUAAUAGCUGUUUGAGGUUAUUACAUAUUUAUUAUGCAAGUUUUGUACCUGUGAGUUCUUGUAAAUGUGCUCUGCGGUGAUCAUACUGGACAGAGAGCUAUGCCUGUAUAAUAACAGUGACUAAUGUUCUCCUGCCCAUAAACCUAUUCCUAGGGUACAUCUGCACCCUUGGAAGUCACUGGAGAGGCGUGUUAGCUUAGCUCAAUUGGUAAGGGCCCUGGAUCGGUAAUACAGAAGAUGUGGAUUCAAGUCCUACUACUGGCUAACCUUUCUAGUGACUGCCUUCUUUCAUCAUUCAUUUCUUAGGCACUUGAUGCUUUGUAUGUAUUUGGCUUUUCUAUGUGUUCCAGUCUCAGAACAUCAACUGCCAUGUUCAAAAGAAGUGGAAAAUGCCUCUGCAAUCUGGAACCCAUCCCAACAUCUCUUAAUCGACAAAGUAGAAUUUGUACAGAACCGCACGGUUUGUUGCUCGUGAUUAUUAUCCUUUUUCCAGCGUCUCAGCCAUUAAAGCCAAACUCUUUCUUACUCCUUUGAUUACCAGAUGAAAGGUAUCACGCCUGGCAUUCUUUCAUAAGUUAUAUUACAGUCACACUCCUCCCCACCCCACUUACUGUCAAUCCCCUCACAAGUUACUUCCAAGACUUGAUGACUCGCACAAAGUACUUGCUCCACCUACACAAACAAAAAAAUUCCUCUACUCUCCGCACCAGCUGAUGGUGUCAAACUGGAAUGACGUUCCUGCCCACAUAGCAUCAGAAC